rnacentral:rRNA from 1 species
UAGGGAAUCUUCGGCAAUGGACGGAAGUCUGACCGAGCAACGCCGCGUGAGUGAAGAAGGUUUUCGGAUCGUAAAGCCCUGUUGUAAGAGAAGAACGAGUGUGAGAGUGGAAAGUUCACACUGUGACGGUAUCUUACCAGAAAGGGACGGCUAACUACGUGCCAGCAGCCGCGGUAAUACGUAGGUCCCGAGCGUUGUCCGGAUUUAUUGGGCGUAAAGCGAGCGCAGGCGGUUAGAUAAGUCUGAAGUUAAAGGCUGUGGCUUAACCAUAGUAGGCUUUGGAAACUGUUUAACUUGAGUGCAAGAGGGGAGAGUGGAAUUCCAUGUGUAGCGGUGAAAUGCGUAGAUAUAUGGAGGAACACCGGUGGCGAAAGCGGCUCUCUGGCUUGUAACUGACGCUGAGGCUCGAAAGCGUGAGGAGCAAACAGGAUUAGAUACCCUGGUAGUCCACGCUGUAAACGAUGAGUGCUAGGUGUUAGACCCUUUCCGGGGUUUAGUGCCGUAGCUAACGCAUUAAGCACUCCGCCUGGGGAGUACGACCGCAAGGUUG